rnacentral:rRNA from 1 species
UGGAGCAUGUGGUUUAAUUCGAUGCAACGCGAAGAACCUUACCUGGGCUUGACAUCCCGGGAACUCCCCUGGAAACAGGGGAGUGCCCUUCGGGAACCCGGUGACAGGUGCUGCAUGGCUGUCGUCAGCUCGUGUCGUGAGAUGCUGGGUUAAGUCCCGCAACGAGCGCAACCCUUGUCUUUAAUUGCCAUCAUUUAGUUGGGCACUUUAAAGAGACUGCCGGUGUUAAGCCGGAGGAAGGUGGGGAUGACGUCAAGUCCUCAUGGCCUUUAUGCCCAGGGCUACACACGUGCUACAAUGGGCGGUACAAAGAGAAGCAACCUCGCGAGGGUGAGCAAAUCUCAAAAAGCCGUUCUCAGUUCGGAUUGAAGUCUGCAACUCGACUUCAUGAAGUCGGAAUCGCUAGUAAUCGCGGAUCAGCAUGCCGCGGUGAAUACGUUCCCGGGCCUU